CUCCGCGCCACCUCUGCAAAGCAAGUCCAGAAAAAGGCAGCAGGUGAGAGCAUGCAAGCAGGAGGGAGCUGAGCCUGAGAACUGAAGGUGGGGCUGGCAGAAGCAGCCCAGGGGAUGCAGAGACGAAGGUGAAGGAACAGGUAAAGGGCACUGCUUAGUACCGGAGCGCACCGCCCGCCAGUGUGUGCUUUUCUAUUCCCGGACAUACGGUCUCGCCACCAAGGGAGACCGAAUCUCUCAGUCUCGAGCCGGUGAUAUAGCUUACGGCGGAUGCAGCAAGCCUCGGCAAUUCGGCCUUGACUGGCCCCCAGGCAAGACGGGAGCGUCAGGUCCGACGACUUCAAUCCAUCCCCAUGGAACCCCAAAUCUGACUCACCCGAACUCCACCUCCACUGACAAGGGUGCUGCCAUGUUGAGGAAACCUAGCUCUUAAGAAACUCUCCUCAACUUCCGGCGCGCCAGCCCACUUCCGGUUGCCGCGCGCCGUCGCGGGCGGAAGAGGCGGUGUCGAGCGGAAGAGGCGGAGCCCAGGAGUCUAUCCUCUUCUGCUAUUGGAGGAAAGUUCAGAGCAGAGGAGGGGAGGUCAUCUCGGCUCCUGAGGACUGUGGGUCGCAGAGACUGAGUGCGGAGCGGCUUCAACCAAGUCACAGUUAGGGAGACGAGAGCCGGCAGCAUCUUUGCGACACGACUGUGAGCUACGUUACUUCUUGUCUUGCAUUAGUUAUAAAUGUCAGCCAACACACUGCUUGGGCGAGCUCGUUCACUUGUCAUAUCUUGAAGUAAAAGCAACCUCCAAAAUCAUUUUAUUUCCGCCCCAGCAGUCUCCCUUCUAAGCGGAGAACUUGCUGUCCACAGGUGCCUUGUUUGAUGCUGUGGAUUCAGUAGUAAAAAGGGAGCUGGUAAGGUUUCUUCUGGAUUUAGGGCCUUCGCAGGCUAGCGAGAAGACAAACUAAUCAAGUAAACAUACUAGCAUAUUGUUAAGUGUAAAUCUCAAACGGCACGAAACAAUCUAAACUUGCAGACAUUUCAGAAAGAAAAGCAGGAGGUGGGGGCCACAGCUCGGUGGCCUGCCCCAUCAUGUGGAAGGUCCUGUGCUCCACCUGAAACUAUCUAGACGGGACAUGCUGGGCGCCAAAGCUUGAGUAAACUAGGGGAACAUGAGGGAAGCCUUCUGAGGAGAGCAGAAGGGGCAAACAACCAGGGCACAAGGGAGGACAGUAGAAGUUGGUGAGCAGCGAGUUUGCUAAGAUGAUGUGAGAGCUGCCUCGAAAAGGAACAAACAAAUCAUUUUACAGCUAAAGAUGUAGCUCAGUGUGUUUGCCUAGCGUGUGCAAGGAGCCCUGGGUUUGAUCCUUAGCACACCCUUCCAGAACAACUUUUUUUGCUGCAGUGUAGAGAAUAGUUUGGAGCAGAACAAGCAAGAGACGUGACAGGGAGGGCACUGGAGGUUGUUGCAAAAGCCUGAGGGGUACCUGGGCAUGAUGGCCUACAGCUGUAAUCCCAACACUUGGGAGGCUGAAGCAGGAGGAUCAUUGCGAGUUCGAGACCAGCCUGGGCUACAAAGUGAGCUCAAGGCCAGCCUGAACUGCAUGGUCUCAAAAAAAAAAAAAAAAAAAAAAAAAAAAAAAAAGCCUGGAGGAGAAACACUGGAGUGGAUGUAACCCAUGGGUCUUUAUACUGCAGCAUUUUCUGAACUGCAUUUGGUACUGGUAGAAGUUGGGAUGUAGCCUCUUGGGUAAGGGUGCAUUGAUUAAAUUGAGAGUGAGUCUCACCGUGACCUAGCUGUUUAGGCAAGGCCCUUAACAUUUUUGUGCUUCACUUACCUCAUCUGUAAAAUGGAGGUAAUAGCCUAUCCUUACAGGACUGUCGUAAGGACUAAACAAAUUCUCAGCAUAGUUCUUGAUAUAUAGCCAGUGAAGGUGAACCAUUCGUUCAUUUAUUUGAGACUGCAUCUUGCUAGGUCAGGGUGAUCUUCCUGGCUCAGCCUCCAAGUGCUGGGAUUACAACUGAAUUGUGUACUACCAUGGUUGGCCUGAGAAGGAACCUUUGAAAACUGUCAGUGAUACAAACAGCCCUCUGCAGCAUGCAUGCCAUAGGUUUGCCACAACUGGUAUAGGCUUUAUAUUUCCCUCUCCUGGAUGCCAGUAUCACUUACCCAGACAUCCAAGCACCCAAACAUUCAGACACUAUCCUUAAUUCUUCCCCUCGACCCAUACCCAACCAACAAAUUUGGAUUAAUUGGCUUCCUAACCUAGUUUUGCAACCUCAGUUUCCUCCAUACCUCCAUGUUCUCUUAUCUCACAAUUCUACUGUCAUCUAUACCUGCUUCCUCUGGUCCCCUUGCCUUCUUAUUCUUUGUCUCUGGCCAUAGCUUCCUUGUCCAGUUCAAGCCCCUUCAGUGUCCCGGGGACUGCUCAAGGGUACUGGUAAACAAGGACAUACAAGACAGUUCUGGUUCUUAAAAAGCACAGAGGAGUCUGAUGGUACCUGGAACAGCCCCACAAUCCCUGAGCUGUGUGGUGAGUCAUUUCCCCUCUCUGGAAUUCCAUUUGCUCCAUCUCUAGAGAGAAUUUAGAGCUGGGCUUGGUGCUGCACACCUGUAAUCCCAGCACUCAGGAGGCUGAAGUAUGAUCAGUUCGAGGCCAGCCCAACUACAUAGCAGGACCUUGUCUCAAAAAUUAAAAAAAAAAUUUUUUUUUUGUAUUGUAAGAUAGCUCCUUGGAGACAAAAGGGGUCCUGAGUGGGUUGUCACUGAGACCCUGUGUCAGGGGAAAUUUAUACAACAAAGUCACAAUGUGGGUACAACAUGCAUCAAACUAUAACUAACCAGUAAGAUUACAGGGAUAGCUGCUUAGCUAAUACUGACCCAACUGGGAGGCAGGGCUUGCACUUAGCAAGAAACAGGAACAAUUAUGGGAAGGGCUGGGUCCAGAUACCCUAGUCACUCACGUGGGUAUCUGAUGUAUAUCUGGAUUUACUGGACGGGGUGGUAUUAAUUACAAUACAGACUCAGUGCAUGCUUAUUUCUAAGGAAGUUUGUAAGUCAGGCCAUUGUGACUUUAUCUUGAGGCUUUGCCUUCUUCAGAUGCACCUCCAGCCACAAUUCCUGUAUCUUUAUCUUUCAAUCACUUCCUGGAAAGCCCAGUCCCUCUCGGACUGUGAAUGAAUUUCUGUCCAACUUAGUUACCUAUAAUAUUAUGAACAUGGUGUUUGCUUCGGCAGCACAUAUACUAAAUUAGGAAUUUACUAAAUAUACUAAAUGAGGAUACAGAGAAGCAAGGAUGACAUACAAAUUCAUGACAUUCCACAUUUUUUUUUUUUUUGUGGUACUGGGGAUUGAGCUCAUGACCUCGCACUUGCCAGGCAGACGCUUAUGCCACUGAGCAAAAUCCCCGGCCCAAGCAUUCCACAUUUUAAAAAAGAUUAUAAACAUGUACCCACUCUUCAAGAUGACUGUAAUCUGCAUGUACUUCUAACACACUGCAAACACGUAUUAAUAAAAUUAAAUAAAUGAAGCGAAA